ensembl:lncRNA
GGGCAGGCGCACUGAUGGAAGUUGUCCAUUAGAGGUCACUGAAGCUCCGCCAGUGAAGAAGUCUGAGCCCUGUCCUGCUGGGUUGGCUAUCGCUGCUUGCUUUUUUCUGCUGAGCAAAGGCCUCUUGCCCAAACUUCUCUUUCAAAAGCAGCCUCUUACAGUAUAAACUAGUGCAGGACGCUGCUGCCGUCUCCCUGCCUGUGGCACUGGUGGUCAGGCUUGAGGCCCUUUGUCUCGUCCCCUUCUCCUGACAUCAGCUGGAAGAGACGGAGAUUAAAACAAGGGAGACGUGUUACAAAGAAGAAUGCACAUCUCUGGAACGUGCCACUGCAUAUUCCCUGUACAAAAGUCCAAAAGAAGUGAGGACACGACCUGUUGUGUGGCAGAAGCACUGCGAGAUCAUAAUACGUAGCUGCUGGUGGACAGAAAGAAGGAUGAGUCAGGUGUGCAUUAUUUCCACUCGGAGAGGGCUGUCAUACGGGUGUGCCACUGCCUGCUGCUGAAGGAAAGUGUCCCAGUUUUCAAUAUGAGCACUUGGUCUGAAUAAUCGCACGUGGCUUUUAUUGAGGAGAAGUAACACUGAUCCCCGUAGGAAAGGCAGAAGUGACUAACACUGAAACAGAAGAGGGGAAAAAAGGAUACAAAUAACAGACCUUUACAGUUCCACUCCGGGGAAGGCUCUAGUUAUGAUACGAAUGAUACAUUUGUGUGUCUGUGACAGUGAAUUAAAAAUGUGAGGGAUAAGCUUGCUGUUGAAAUGAGACUGCACUGCAGUGCUGCUCAUUAGCUCCCACAUGAAGCUGGCAGUCCUCCGAACAACCUUGCUUACCCCUAAAGGGGUGAGUGGCUUCUUCACCAGUUAACACUGGAAGCAGAGGGGCCUCCCGGAACAUGUGGUGUGGAUUUGGCAGUGUGAGCAAACUGUCCUAAGGCAGGCAGCAGGUAUCGCACAUGGCCGUGUGUCUCACAGAAUCACAGGGGUUGGAAGAGACCUUGAGAGAUCAUCAAGACCAACCCCAUGGCUGAGGCAAGUUCUCUACAGUAGGUCACACAGGCAGGUGUCCAGAUGAGUCUUAAAUAUCUGCAUAGAAAGAGACUCUACAACCUCUCUGGGCAGCCUGUUCUAGUGCUCUGUCACCAUGUUUGUAUGGAACUUCCUAUAUUCAAGUUUUAGGCCGUUACUUCCUCCUCCCUCCCCUCUUCCUGGCUCCUUUUUGUCUACUGGGAAAAGUACAGGUAGGCAGAUAAUGCAAGUCAUUGGCAAGCUAUACUGAUGUUACCAGUGAAAUGAGGAAAGGUUGAGCCAGUUUUCCUCUGCAGACUGCUCUCAGUUAAUGUGCUCAUCAGCCCCAAUGGCCGGCUUUUUAGAUGCUCCUGAUCAGCUGUUUCCUUUCUUUUAGCCCACAGAAUAGUUCCUUUUCAAAGCAAACUAAAGUUGCCCUCUUAUCUUCGGGAAUCUCUCUCGGCCAUCCUGAUAAAAUGGCAAUGCUAAAGAAGUUCCAGCCAUAAAGGACUGCCCAUUUGGGGCCUAAAAACUCCUUGGGCUUCUCUGCAGCCUUUCUAUGAAUUUCUUUCAAAAACACUGUUUUUUUUUUUGCCAGGAUCAGUUCCGCAUUUACUCGUGUAUAAUUUUCUAAGCUUUGUUUUGUAUUUGUUAGCUUAGUCUUCCUGAGAACUGCUAAGCUCCAGUGCAGAGGAUAUAUCAUUCCUUAAAUUUAAAAAAUUCUGUUGAGAGCCCUCUUGUACAAAACAGCAGAGGAAAGGCUGAUCCAUGUUCUACGUCUUGCCAUUACUUGUUCUACUCAGUCACAUGUUUCUCUUCUACUGUCCUUGAUGCAGCUAUCUCUGAAUCUUUACAAAUCUCUACCAUAUUUAAUUAACACAUAAAUGAAGGAUGCUCUAGGGUUGAGGGCACGGAAAUCACUUUGUGUUGCUGUUUCCAAAUGCCACUGACCUG